rnacentral:rRNA from 1 species
UACAGAGGGGGCAAGCGUUGUUCGGAAUUACUGGGCGUAAAGGGCGCGUAGGCGGCCUGCUAAGUCGAACGUGAAAUCCCUGGGCUCAACCCAGGAACUGCGUCCGAUACUGGUUGGCUUGAAUCCGGGAGAAGGACGUGGAAUUCCAGGUGUAGCGGUGAAAUGCGUAGAUAUCUGGAGGAACACCGGUGGCGAAGGCGACGUCCUGGACCGGCAUUGACGCUGAGGCGCGAAAGCCAGGGGAGCAAACGGG